GGCCUCCGCGCUGAACGGUUGGACGCUAGGGGGCCUGCGAGCUUCCAGCCUCCCGAUCCCGGGAGAAAAAUGACCGGCCGUCCUGGGCCGCGGAGCCGGGGAGCGUCUGGAGGUGACGAAGUUGAGGGAUCCGCCGAAGUCUUUCUCGACUCGACUUCACGCGGCGAUCACCCCGCGGACGGGGUUGAUUCGGAGCCACCACGUUUGUUUCCGAGGGGUCGUUCGAGAUGAAGGCUUCCAAAUGAGACCUACUUGCGAGGCUUCCCGUCGCCGGGGUCAAGACCUGUGAGAGGAAGAAGGACGCAAGCAGAGGAGGAAUGAAGCUGGUCCCACAGUCCGUCAGCCAGCCCUGGCGCUGUGGAGUGAGCACUGCUCUUCAGAGGUCCCGAGUGAGUGCCUGCCUGCAAAGUGUAUGCAAAGUCUUUGCAUACAGGCUGCCCCAGGAAGGGCAUCAUUUUGGGGUGGGUCAGGAGGGGGGGAUGACAACAACUUUGACACAUUCUGAAGGAGGUGACAGAUGGAGGCCAUCUACUGACCACUGCUGUACAGCUGUACAGCUGGGGAAGGAUCUAAGUGGCACCACCCCAACCCUGCCCAUGGGAGAUAAGAGGACAUAGGACCUAAUACACAAGUGAAAGAGUUG
rnacentral:lncRNA from 1 species